rnacentral:rRNA from 1 species
UACGAAGGGGGCGAGCGUUGCUCGGAAUCACUGGGCGUAAAGGGUGCGUAGGCGGGUCUUUAAGUCAGAGGUGAAAUCCUGGAGCUCAACUCCAGAACUGCCUUUGAUACUGAAGAUCUUGAGUUCGGGAGAGGUGAGUGGAACUGCGAGUGUAGAGGUGAAAUUCGUAGAUAUUCGCAAGAACACCAGUGGCGAAGGCAGCUCACUGGCCCGAUACUGACGCUGAGGCACGAAAGCGUGGGGAGCAAACAGG